GUGCUCGCUUUAGCAGCACAUACACUAAAAUUUGAGCCAUACAGAGAAGACUAGCUGGACCCUGUGCAAGGAUGACACGUGAAUUCAUGAAGCGUUCCAUAUUUUU